UACGGAGGGUGCAAGCGUUGUCCGGAUUUAUUGGGUUUAAAGGGUGCGUAGGUGGCUUUAUAAGUCAGUGGUGAAAGCCUGCAGCUUAACUGUAGGACUGCCAUUGAUACUGUAGAGCUUGAGUACUGAUGAGGUAGGCGGAAUUGAUAGUGUAGCGGUGAAAUGCAUAGAUAUUAUCAAGAACACCGAUUGCGAAGGCAGCUUACUAAGGAGUUACUGACACUGAGGCACGAAAGCGUGGGGAUCAAACAGGAUUAGAUACCCUGGUAGUCCACGCCAUAAACGAUGAUUACUCGAUGUAUGCGAUAGACUGUAUGCGUCCAAGCGAAAGCGUUAAGUAAUCCACCUGGGGAGUACGACCGCAAGGUUG
rnacentral:rRNA from 1 species